GGGAUUGCCUUAGUAACGGCGAGUGAAGCGGCAACAGCUCAAAUUUGAAAUCUGGCUUCGGCCCGAGUUGUAAUUUGUAGAGGAUGUUUAUGGUGCGGUACCUUCCGAGUUCCCUGGAACGGGACGCCACAGAGGGUGAGAGCCCCGUCUGGUUGGAUACCAAACCUGUGUUAAACUCCUUCAACGAGUCGAGUAGUUUGGGAAUGCUGCUCUAAAUGGGAGGUAAAUCUCUUCUAAAGCUAAAUACCGGCCAGAGACCGAUAGCGCACAAGUAGAGUGAUCGAAAGAUGAAAAGCACCUUGAAAAGGGGGUUAAACAGUACGUGAAAUUGUUGAAAGGGAAGCGUUUAUGACCAGACUUGUGCCGUGUGGCUCAUCCGAGGUUCUCCUCGGUGCACUCCACACGGUUCAGGCCAACAUCGGUUUUCGCUGGGGGAUAAGAACAGUAGGAAAGUAGCUCCCCUCGGGGAGUGUUAUAGCCUAUUGUACGAUACCCUGGCGGGGACCGAGGACCGCGCUUCGGCUAGGAUGUUGGCGUAAUGGUCAUUAGCGACCCGUCUUGAAACACGGACCAAGGAGUCGUCCAUUAGAGCGAGCGUUUGGGUGUAAAACCCGCACGCGUAAUGAAAGUGAAAUUAGGUGAGAGCUUCGGCGCAUCAUCGACCGAUCCUGAAGUUUACGGAUGGAUUUGAGUAAGAGUUUUAACGGACGGACCCGAAAGACAGUGAACUAUGCUUGAAUAGGGUGAAGCCAGAGGAAACUCUGGUGGAGGCUCGCAGCGGUUCUGACGUGCAAAUCGAUCGUCAAAUUUGAGCAUGGGGGCGAAAGACUAAUCGAACUGUCUAGUAGCUGGUUACCGCCGAAGUUUCCCUCAGGAUAGCAGUGUUGACCUUCAGUUUUAUGAGGUAAAGCGAAUGAUUAGGGACUCGGGGGCGCUUAUUAGCCUUCAUCCAUUCUCAAACUUUAAAUAUGUAAGAAGCCCUUGUUACUUAAUUGAACGUGGGCAUUCGAAUGUACCAACACUAGUGGGCCAUUUUUGGUAAGCAGAACUGGCGAUGCGGGAUGAACCGAACGGGGGGUUAAGGCGCCAGAAUGUACGCUCAUCAGACACCACAAAAGGCGUUAGUACAUCUUGACAGCAGGACGGUGGCCAUGGAAGUCGGAAUCCGCUAAGGACUGUGUAACAACUCACCUGCCGAAUGUACUAGCCCUGAAAAUGGAUGGCGCUCAAGCGUACUGCCCAUACCCCCCCUUCAGGGUAGAAACGAUGCCCUGAAGAGUAGGCGGCCGUGGAGGUUGUGACGAAGCCUAGGGCGUGAGCCCGGGUCGAAC
rnacentral:rRNA from 1 species